rnacentral:tRNA from 1 species
UCCCCAUUGGCUCACUGGGUAGAGAAUCUGCCUGCAGUGCAGGAGACACAGGAGACGCAGGUUCGAUUCCUGGGUGAGGAA